rnacentral:lncRNA from 1 species
UCUUCCGGUCUGGCCUAUAUGUAGCAUCUCCGGCAUGACAGCGGAAUAUGAUAGACCACCCCUACGGCGCAUCCGACGAACUCCUCUGUUGCAAUGCUAACACA